rnacentral:rRNA from 1 species
AAACUUUCAACAACGGAUCUCUUGGUUCUGGCAUCGAUGAAGAACGCAGCAAAAUGCGAUAAGUAAUGUGAAUUGCAGAAUUCAGUGAAUCAUCGAAUCUUUGAACGCACAUUGCGCCCGCCAGUAUUCUGGCGGGCAUGCCUGUUCGAGCGUCAUUUCAACCCUCAAGCACAGCUUGGUGUUGGGACUCGCGUUAAUUCGCGUUCCU